rnacentral:rRNA from 1 species
GAUGAACGCUGGCGGCGUGCCUAACACAUGCAAGUCGAGCGAGAUCUUCUGGAACGAAACUUCGGUCUAGCGAAGGAAGUGGAAGCGGCGGACGGGUGAGUAACGCGUAGGCAACCUGCCCCAUACAGAGGGAUAGCCUCGGGAAACCGGGAUUAAAACCUCAUAACGCGAUCUGGUCACAUGGCCGGAUCGACAAAGAUUUAUCGGUAUGGGAUGGGCCUGCGUCUGAUUAGCUAGUUGGUGAGGUAACGGCUCACCAAGGCGACGAUCAGUAGCCGACCUGAGAGGAAAAUCGGCCACAUUGGAACUGAGACACGGUCCAAACUCCGACGGGAGGCAGCAGUGGGGAAUAUUGCACAAUGGGCGAAAGCCUGAUGCAGCAACGCCGCGUGAGUGAUGAAAGCCUUUGGGUCGUAAAGCUCUGUCCUAAGGGAAGAAACAAAUGACGGUACCUUAGGAGGAAGCCCCGGCUAACUACGUGCCAGCAGCCGCAGUAAAAC